GCCUGUCUGAGCGUCAUUUCAACCCUCGGGACCCCUUCC
rnacentral:rRNA from 1 species